UACGGGGGGGGCAAGCGUUGUUCGGAAUUACUGGGCGUAAAGGGCUCGUAGGCGGCCAACUAAGUCGGACGUGAAAUCCCCAGGCUCAACCUGGGAACUGCGUCCGAUACUGGAUGGCUUGAAUUCGGGAGAGGGAUGCAGAAUUCCAGGUGUAGCGGUGAAAUGCGUAGAUAUUAGGAAGAACACCAGUGGCGAAGGCGGCUCACUGGUCCGGUACUGACGCUGAGGUGCGAAAGCGUGGGGAGCAAACAGG
rnacentral:rRNA from 1 species